AAGUGGGGCAGCUCUGCCCCUUACCACUCCACUCUGCCAUCUCCCAGCUGCGGCACUCCACUUCCCGCUAUAGGUGAGCGCAGGGAGGUUGGGGAAAGGA